rnacentral:pre_miRNA from 2 species
ACAGAAAUCACCUGGGGAUCUGGUUAAAAUACAGAUUUUGAUGUAGUUGGUCUAGAAAGGGGCCCAAGAGUCUACAUUUCUAACAAGCUCCCAGGUGAUGAUUCC